rnacentral:misc_RNA from 1 species
UAUAGCUACCUGUCUAGAUCUGCAU